ACGGUGCACUUCGGAAGUGUUUCGUGGUGUCUUAGAGGAGAUUAGAAAGCAGAAACGGACUUCCGUUUCACAUGAGUAUAAGGCAGGGAACUGUUGGUCUUUUAUGCGAGAACCAGAUUUAAUGUCGGGUGUAUUUUGCUAGUUGACGUCGCUGGUCAUAGGCGUGUAUACACUAAUUUUACGCCGAGGGCUGACAAGUAAUACACAGCCUGUGGGCCUAUAUAUUAGAACACAGGCAGAAAUAUUAUUCGCUUGAUUAUCGAUUGAUGCGGGUCACCAGUGCUGCACGUUUUUGUCAUGACAAGAGCGCAGGUAUCGUGAGCCAUUAGGUUGAUGCACUCUCACUGAGGGAAAUCCAUGUCGAUAACUCACCCUGAACGUAUUCCGUGCAGUCGCCACUCCAGAGAAACAACGCGGACGCGAAGGGAAGGUAAUAUAGUCGGGGUAGGCAAAAGAGAGUGAUGAGAUGAAAGACAUAUAGGCGAGACUGGGUUAGUUAUAGAGAGCACGGCAAGAGAAAUGGCGGAAUUUAAAUAGGCUUAAUCUGGCAAUAGAAUUGUGUGAGUGGUUAACAUUGGUGCCCAAGCCUGUGUAACUUCUCCCCAUACGACCCUUCGUUUCCCCCGUCUACGGCAAUAGAGUUCGGUUCCUGCAAGCCCGGCUGCGACCUAGCUUCGCCUUCGGCUCGUGCGUCGCUCUGCGGCUUGCGCCUUCCUCCGGGUGCCUCGUGCAACGACCUGCUGGGCUACUGCGACGUCUUUCAGCGUUGCCGGCCCGUGGACGACGAGGGACCGCUGACGCGCAUGCAGCGCCUUUUCUUCGGCGCUCCUGUCGACGCCAUCAGGCUUUUCAUCGCGUCGGACCCUCCCAGGGCAGUGCUGGUGCUGGCGGUCUCUUGCUGGCUAGUGGCGCUGGCUUUCCGCUGCUGCGCCGCCCUCACGCCCACUAGCAAUCCCCACAAGAAGCUGUGUGGUCAGUCGUCGCCGCCACAUCAGCAGCGGAGUUCAUCGGCAUUGCCCAGGUGACGCAAGCUGAUGAGGCCCCUGCCGGCGACGGUUGCUGGACACAGACGCCGUCCUCGGUGGACCCCUUGCGUCGACGCAGACCUCGCCACUCUGCUGGUGCGUGCUCGAUGGGUGCUUGUCGUGGAGAAGAUGAGCUGACGUGCCAUUUCGAAACGGCACAUUUGUCUAUCG
rnacentral:lncRNA from 1 species